UGACAAUCUGUCCACCUCCACAGUGAAAUUCUGUAUAUUUUUAACAACUUUGCAGCUGCUGCAAUCUCUUGGUUGUUGUUUAAAUUUGCUGAUAAAGCUAUUUGAGGAGGAGGGACAGUGGUAGACUCCUGAGGAGUCUGAAGAGAAAGGCACAGGCCUCUCCCUCCUUUCACCCAUGCACUCAAUGACUUGGAUUUCUUUGUAACUUAAGCCGGUGGGACACAACCAUGUGUCUUGGUCUUGGGGCUCACACUGGUUGCUUUUUUUUUUUUUUUUUUUUUUUAAACCCUCUCUGCCCAAGAAAAUUCUGAAUUGGUUUACUAAACUGUCCUGACUCUUGUGCUGAAGUCUGAGUUUGUAAGCCCACAUCUUUGAAAAGGGUUGUCAGACUGGAUGAUCAAGAUGGGCCCUUCGAGUCCUGAAGCCUAUGGAGCUCUGAUCUAAAAUGACAUGAUCACACACCACUUUCCCCUCAGCGAUGCUGACUUCAGUGCACCAGAAAUAUGUAAUUUGUGGGAAGCAGACAGAAGCAGUGUUAAGACAGCUGCCUGAAGUCUAGCUUUCUGGUCAGAAGUGAAAUGAAUAUUGAUGAAAGAAAGGAAAAUAAAGAAAUCAAGAAGUACAAAUGAAACACAUCUGUAUGAUUGCUGUUUUCCCAGAGAAGAGCUGAAAUGCAAUGAAAGAAGAGGGACAGUCUGAGAAAAUGGCAUUUGACAUAGAAGUAAAUAUGUGCAAUUGAAUUCCUCCAUGCAUAGAAAAAUUGUACCCAUUGACAUUCAUUGACACUUGCUGCAAGUUCGUAGAGACCAUACAGUGGGUGUGAGCACACUAAGGUGGAGGAUGGUGUGUUACAGCAGUGGCAACAGUGACGUGAAAGACAAACCACGUCUUAUGAGAAAGGCAUGCAGGCACUUGUUCAUCAGUGUCAAAAAUGUGCAAUUAAUGGUUGCUACUACACUGAAAAUAAAUGUUUUGUGGCUGAGAAUAUUCUCUAUCAAAUAGUGCUAUUGUGCUGUUUGCAGGUGGUGAAUUUUUCAUGGAAAUAAAUAGGAGGCAUUACUUUCAGAGUGACCUAUGUAUGUUCUCCACUUUUUUUGAGAAGACCUAUUGAAGUUGGCAUAAUAAAAUAAUUUAUUCAGACAUUCAGUUUUCCUUAUAGUUCUGUCUUAGGCCCUUCCUUAUUGGACAGGCUACGUUUGACUUUUCAGAGGAGAUUAGGUCAAAGUCUCCAUCAGUUGCAGGGUCAGGAUUCUUUCCAUUUCCAACUCAAAAUCAGUCUUUUUUUUUUUUUUCUUGUAUCAUUGUACGGGAAAAUAAUAAAGAAUGUAUACUUUAUUUAGGUAUGUCUAUUACACAUUUGUGAGGUGGUCCCAUUGCUUUAAUGUAGAUGGAAUCUUUGCAGUAACAUAGAGAAAUGUGUUUACACAGUUAUGUUUAUUCACUCUCAUAUUCUGCCUUUGAAAGGACAAAUGUAUUUGCCUAAACUGUAAAAUGCUUUUUGCUAAUGCCUCUGAAAUCUUUACACUUACUGUUUUCCCUUCUUCCUAUGUCUCUUUAUCCCUUUGGAAUAUGAUCCUUUUCUCUCUGUCAUUUAGAUUCCUAUUCUUGACUACUGCAAGAUUCUUUCCUGCUACAUAGGAACCUAUGUUUUUCAAGUUUUUACUUUUGACCAAAGCUGUGUUCUUUGGCUCAUUUUUUACCCUCUUAUAUAACCUUCACUGAACUGAAAAAAAUGAUACAAGAAUUGUCUUUUAAACUUGAAUGAAGCGAUAUCAAACACUGUGCUGCCUAACAUAGAGAAAUGAAUUGAUUUGGGGAAAUUAAAUAUUGAUAUUAUGCUCUCAGGGCCAGCACAAAACUAGGCAAUUUCACAAAUUUUGCAUGGACCUCUGAGAGUUAGUGUGAAAAUAUAUUAAAGUAAAGGAAGUAGGGCAAGUGGCUAAAAGAAAGGAGUCUGUAGCUGACAUGUCGGCAUUGUAAGUUUUCAGCCCUUCUAAGCAGAGCUCCACUGAAUGUAAAAUGGCAAAGAGGAGAGGGUCUUUUGUGUCUCUCCUCAGAUAGGGGCAUUGACAACCUGAUUCAUUUUCAGUACAUGCUCUUGUACCUGCAUGAAGCAACUGUAGAACUACAGAGGACUUUCACUUGAAUUUGGUCCCUAGCUUAAGCCAAACAAAAAGACUUCUCUUCACAAGCUGCAGAAAUAGUUAAAGGGUAAGAAAUUUCAUGUCGGUCAUCAGUAUCAGAAAGUACUGCUGUGAAUGGUUUUGAUUUAUUUUAGUCUAUCAAGCUGAAUGUUAAUUUUCAUGCUAGAAAGAUGUCUUUACUUCCUUGAUUUAUUAAAUAAAAAUAGGUUAAAAAAAAAAAAAGAUUCUUUUAAAGAUACUCUUAAAUGUAUCUACUAUGAUUUAAAUUAAGCAUUAGCUUUUAUCUCUAAAAUGAAGAGCUCGGUUUACUUCUCUUAGUGACUUCGGUUUUAGAAGAAAAAAUUGUGUCCAUGUUCAGUUAUAUGUUCGAAAAACACUUAGUUACAGUCAGUUACAUAUACAUCUCCAAAUACCAGUAAAAUUUCCUCCACUUGUCUGUGUGUGUGUGUGUCUGUGUGUGCAGAUAAAGAUAGAUCGUCAAGCUCUUACCAUCUAGACACUCUUCUAUGUAUUAGGAAGGGAUAUGUUGUGAAGUAGGGCAUAAGCUUAUAAUCUAAGGUCAUAGAUUUGGAACUGCCUUGGAAGUGGUGUGUGAUGCUCAGCAAGACUGCUUUUCUUAACCUUUAUUGUUUGUGAAAUUCAGAAAUGUGCUUCCUGCUCGUACUAGUAAAAAUAACUUGUCUUAUUUUCAAAAUGGAACACGUGUAAAAAACAGCAUGAAAUAUUUUUUUCUACUAAGGAAAGUUUGCCUUGCUUUCUUAAAAAUGAACCCACUAAUCCCUUCUAGAUAUUCAGCAUGAAUGUCAUUUAGCACAGUCUGAGAGCAGAUAAAUAAUCCCAUUCUUCUCUGUUCUCAUUUUCUUAUAUUUCACUGUAUGAAUAAAACCACUUCGUACACUGCUAUGAAAGAGACAAUAUUUAGAAGCCAUAGAGAAGACUAUCAAUUCAUGAAACUGAAUUCUGUAAAGAAAUUCACUCUGAAACAAAAGUAUAUUUUAAAUGUUUUUCAUUUUGAAUAAACUAUACUUCUGUAAAGAUGAAUUUGUUAAAUCAAAAAUUUCUCAAAAUUGUGAUAAAAGAGAAAAAACUUGAAAAAAAACCCAAAAAACUAAACCUCUUCAAUGUCCCCAUUCUCCUCCACAUAAAUCUUCUGUUUAAUAUCAAGUAUCUAAACAUAAACCUAAUUUAAACCCUUUUAAAAUAGUAUUUUCUACUGUGAUUUCUGUAUUAUUAUUAUGUGUUAUAUUUACCUGUAGAUCUUUAACUGAUCUAGAUGAUUUUGAACUUUCUACUGCUGACUAUAUUUAUUCUUUUACAUAUGAAAAUGACUUUACAUAGUACACCAUUUUAUGAAUAUGACUGUAUUUAUUUCUUCUAGUAGGCCGAUAGUCUUUAAGCCUUUUAUUGUUAUUUAUUUUAAAAUGGGUAUUCUGAUGAAUUAUGAGCAUGUGCUGAAACACUAUCUGUAGCUCAAGUUGGAAUACAGCUUUUUGUUCUGUGUACUUUACAGCACUUAAAUCUUUCUCCUUCCCGGACUCUCUGUAUUUUUUUUCAUUUUUAAAAGCCUUCUGUUUAUUGCUUCCACUAAUCUUUAGAUCUCUACUUAACCUCAUUGCCCACUGUUGCCCUUUUCUACAUUUAGAUUUAACCAGCAUGUCAAUUACAGUCUCUCCAGAAAAUUUCUGAAGCAUUUUCCAUUUUUAAUUUUAAAAACCCACCUUUUAAAAUGGUACUUGAACAAUAUCACAGCUUUCUUCAAGUACUGUGUUCAGAGAACUCUGUGUUCUUCCUGGUCCUUAGAAAAUGUCAGUAGAAUUGGAGAAAAGAUGGAAUGUAAAGAUAUAUGUAUAUAUAUUUAUAUAAAAAAUAUAUAUGUAUAUAUAUUUAAAUAUCCAAAAAACCUCGUGAAAUUCAUUGAAUGUACUCGCUAUUGAUACAGUCUUGAGAGAAAGCCAAGUCACAAGUGUUAAAGGGUCUAAGUCUUACACACAAAAACUGAAGCACCUGUGAGAAGUCUGAGAGAAAUCAAGAAUGGUGUAACAGGUGUAUCUGAGAAGAUAAAAUAAAAUACAGAUGACUCCUUAAGUUCUAGAGUAGGGCUAAUAAUACCCAUCUUCCAAGGGUCACUCACUGCUGGAGUUACUGUUUUUUAUUGUUCUAAAUUAUCAUAUUCUUGGCAGUUUUUAAUGCUAUCAGCAAAUUCAUUUCUCAGUUUAAUUUUAUUGUCUACAUUUAGAUAAGAUUUUCAUUUUUAGCAUUUGAGAAGGUAGAAUGCAGAAACCCAUUGUAUUUUGCUGGAUUCUUUAAAGAUGAGUUCAUAAAUAUUGAAAUAACAUUCUAGACUGUCUUUUGUUUGAAGAUUUUCCAUACAUUUUUUUCAGUUAUAAAAACAAGUUUUUCUGAAUUUGUCUUGACAAUUUUAUAAGAUUGUGUAUCAUCUAAUUGUGGCUCAGCCUUGUCCACCUUCAGUUCUAUAAGAGAGAAAUUGACAUCUUGGAGUUGUAGAGUUUUACUGCCCAUGUUCAAUUAUUUCUGUCACUUGGAUCACAAUGUGUAACUCUAAAUAAUGCCUUUCUUUCUUUAGUUAUCUUCUUUACCUUUCUAGCAGGUAUGACAAAACCACACCCUUUAUAAAUCAUAAAUAAUUUACUUCUUAUAGCAUGAAUUUUUCUUAGUUGCUACAAAUGAAAAAUAUUUUUGGUACAGGCAAUUAAUGUUCUGAUGGUGCCAGAAUAGGUGCUGGAAUUUAUUUGUUAAUGGCACUAAUUUUGUAUGUUAAAAAUAAUAUGGUUCUCAGCUCUCUGAAUGUGAGAACUUCUCAAAAGGUCAAAUCUGUGUGGUUCAACUAAAAAGAGAGGUGGAAAUUAACUUUGGAACAGGAGGACAUAGUUUAGUUCAUUGGGAGCCAAUUAGUUCUCUUCCAGAAUACAGAAAGAGUAUUGUAAGCAAAUGGUACUAUAGCUGCAUUUGAGUAAAGACACAUGGAGCUGCAUUACCCAACUCAAUUUUUAUGUUUUAAACAACCAUUUCCAUUACCCCUGUGAAACAUCACACAUGGAAGUCUCUUGAGGCUCUGUGUUUCAUUGGUGACUUUCUAGCCUACUUCCCUCAGCCUGCCUCAUUUUUUAAUUUGCACAGUACACUUGAGUUCUUUGGUUAGACAGUCAAAGAAAAGAUCUGUCAGAGGGAUUAGUAAGAAGACUUAAGGUUGUCUCAAGCAAGCUUAUGGUAAAAGGAUUUAAACAUACCAAGCAUUAGUGAAAGUGGUUGGCUAAAGAGGUGCAAACUUUCUACCUGUAGCCUGCUUUUCUGCAAGUCCCCAGUCAGUGAGCAGUUAUUCACCAGCCAUCUACAAAAUACACAGAGGUGUUCAUAUUCUUAAUGAUGUAGUCUAAAACAGUGCAAGGAGCAAAAACAAUAGAAGCAGAAAGAAAGAAUAUCUCAUACCGUCUUCCCCUACUACGGUACAUACUAUAUAAUAAAAAUGUGUCAUGGUUUUAUGAUUUCUGUUAUUGGUAUUCCACAUCAUAACAUCAUGUAGUGCACUUGGUGUUAAAGAGUUAAUGCUCCAGUUGCAUGGAUUGUCAGUAUUUUUGGGUACCUGGUUCUCACAAGAGAAGAACUACAUAAACCAGCAGACUUUUAUUGUUACAUUUCCUGUUUCCAUUUUCCAUUUAGAGGGAAAGAUAAAACUCCCUAGUCAUGAGAUUGGUUCCUUCUUUUACUGCUUGCCCCUGCAGUGUAUUCUUCCUAGCCAUCUCACCUUCAGUGCUAGAGUAAAGUCUUCAGUUUUGGACACUUUCUCAUUUAUUUGAUUUAUUAGCUUCAAUUCCAAUUAUAUUAGAUUACAUUGUGUUAUCUCACAUUCCACUGGCAUAUUUAGUGAAUUAGUUUUCUCCCUUAGCUUGUUGCCACUGUUUCGUUUUGUUUUUAGGCCCUCCUCUCUACCUUUUUCCCCUUUUUCUCUUCCCCCUAUCCUGGGGCAUGGGUCAGUGGGUCCCUCCACUGCACUAGUCAUGGAACUGGGCCAAACUGGCCCCAAACCCAUGCCAAAGUGUGAGAUUUGCAGCUUAGGAAGUCCUACUUCUGGGAAGCUUUAGUUCUGAAGUACCUUGAUCCUGCAGGUGCUUUUGCAUCCUGUCACCCACAGUCUUGCUUACUCUGAAUACAUGCUAUUGCAUACUCUAAGGCACUCUGAAGCUAAGCUUAUACAAUAUGUUUAUAAUCACAUAUUCAUUUCUAAAUGCAUUUUGAUUUCUACUCACUUCAUUGAUGUUUUACAAUAUUGAAUAAUUAUGACGAUUGGUUUUCAGUUAAAGAGCAAAAAUCUAGAGACUCAAAAUACUCAGGUGCAUGAUGAUUCUCCCAGAAAACAGCUACUCAUCUGUUUGGCUGGAGACUAUUCACAUUUUUACCAUGAAACACAUACUAUGAUAAAUAAAAUUGUAUCCUUGGAUAAUUUCUGUGUGUCAGCAAGCAGUUCUAGCCAGGGUGCCCAUGUAUGGUUUCUGACAUGGAAUGACAUGUGUUCACAACUGCCAGUCAUUCUAACUGAAAGAAGGGACAGUCUGCACACAGCAGGGUCAUGACAUCUAGCAGCCUGAGUAAACAAACUAGUGUUUCUCUCUCUCCUUCUUCCUCUUUCCAGACUGCUAAGGAGAAGUCAUAAACAUUUUACUUUUUUGGUUAUUUACUAGAACAAGAAGUCUCUGCUUUCCUUUUUUCAUCCAAGAUGGCACUAUGGAUAAUUUGUAAUUUAGAAGAUUUAGAACAUUUCACCUACUAAGUAUGAUAAAUACAAGCAACCAACAGAGGAAAAGUUACAUUUUAUUUCUUAUGGCAGAUUGUUGUAUUAUGCUUUGCUGAAAUAUAUACAAUUAAAUUGUCCAUCAACUAUUUUAUCAGCAACUCAUUAGAAGAAACUGUACAUUUAAAAUAGAGUAAUAAUGAACUUAGAUACAUUUUUUCAGCACAGCUGAGAGACUGCUUUCCAGUGCUGCCAUAUAAGGUAAUCAGGAAACACUGGACCCUGGUUCUGCUUAUUCAAGUGUAACCAAGAUUUGGAGUUUCCAAGUCCACUUUAAAAACCUUUAACUACUUAAAGCAUUGGAAUAAAGCUGACCACAAAGAUGGAAAAGAGAUGGAAGAGUGAGAAGAAGGAAAAAGAAGUUUUGAAGCAGAGACCAGAAAAAGAAAGACUGCGAAUGAUUUUGAAGCUCAUACAAGAUGUAGAAUGCCAAUCUCUUCUCUGUGUUCUAGAGGAGCUUUAAACAGCAAGCAAUAGAGUUGGCCAACUGAAGCACAUUAUUCAGCUGUGUUCUCUUUGGAGAUAACUGGUAAUUCUGAAAGGGAGAUGAGGAAGAAAGAAAGAAAGCUAUAACUUCUUGGUUUGUAAAUCUGCUGGUGAUAUAGUGAACUUAGAUUAAUUUCACAGCUCAAUCUUGAUAGUUAAAGUUGUGUUUUGUGUUUGAUCAUCCUAGGCCUGAGAACAUCCCUGUUAACCUUGUUGCAGCUCUCAACAAUGUAAAAAAAACUUCCUACCAAAUUAUAUUUUUAAUACACCUUAUGAUUUGGUAUAGAUAUGAAGGUAGAUGAAGAGGACAUAAAGAGAUACGUAGAAAAAGACCCAUAGUCCUUAAAAGGAGUUUUGCUCACUUCUGUAAAGGGACUGCAACAGUCCUUGUAGUAUUUUUUUUUGCAGGUGCUAUAAGAAUUACUCUGAAUGGCAGAAGAUGAACUUUGGCAGAAAAUACAGCGGAAACUUCAGCAGCUUAGGCAUGGUUAUAUACAGGUCUCAAUUGCUUUUAACUGAAGUCUUGUUUUGUUGUCUACAAAGGUUGUCUUGCUUUCAGAAAAGUAUGAGCUAUGUUUCAAUGAGACAGAAUUCUGAAAAAAAAAAAAAAGUUUGAUGUUAUUUACAUUCACUGUAACUAAUCUGAAUCACUGAUUCUGGUUGGGACUGACAUCCCUGUCUAAGUCCCAAACCUAGUAUGAUUUUGUAUGUAGAGCCAGUUUAAAGUCACAGGCUCAGCUAGGUCUAGCUAGAACUGAUGAAGGAUAGAAGAUACAGAUUAAACAUUUUUCUCUAUUGUGAGACUAUAAAUAAAAAAUUGAAUGUGACCUUAUAACCAAAUGAUUUAUUCAUUGCUAUAUUAUUGAUAUCAAUGUGAAAUGUGUUACUUUGCUGAGAAAGGGAAGGAUUUUGUGAGGAUACUGAAUGGUUGUUUUUUUUUUAGUGUCCUUAAAGUACAAACUGAUGGGGUCUGCUUCCUCUGUAGAAAUGGUAGUUUUCACUCAAAAGAAUAAAUGCUGUCACUUUAUGCUUCACAACUCUAGAAUGUUUCAGUUGUAGUGAAAACCCAGGAGUUUCUUGGCUUUUUGCUUUUAGUGGAGGACACAUUACUCUGUGAGAGACUUUACUUGGACAAAAUAACAUAGAAAAUGUUAACUUAGAAAAUAGACCAAAUAAUCUGCCACAGCUGUAGUUGUUUUUGUUUUGUUUUGUUUUUUACAAAUCAGCAAUGAACAAUUUGAUCUAAUUCAGAAAUAAUCAAAGGCUGCAUAAAUAUUUGGCUGCUACAAGUUUAAAAUAGUACCACGAUAAAAUUUCACGUACACAUGUCUUCUAAGAACAUAUUUCUUGUAAAUUUCACUGCACUGAAUAAUAACUUGAAUUAUUUUUAUCAGUACAAAAGUAAGUCUCCCUACACUACUCUAUUUUUUAUUAACAAUCACUUUUUAAUCUGUAUAUACUAUAUACAGCUAGUAGCUCUUUCAUUUUUGUACUUUCAAUCUGCUUCACAGGGUAUUAAUUAUGCACAAGUUGGCUACAUCUCUUCUGUCAUACCGAACAGCCACAUCUGCAUUUAAUCAUUCAUUAUAUGCUGUAAUCUACCACCUAACUUCCAGUCACUUUUACUAUCUAAAAGCAAGUAGGAGGUACUUAAGAAUCUAUCCCUGAAUAUCUAAUUGCAUACUUAACUGAUUAGUUUUAUAUGACAGUCUCUUAUAAACAUGCUAAUAAGUUGAAGACUCUUAAUUUGUACCUACAUGCUACUGAUUUCUGUAUGAUUAUACAUAAUGAACUCAUCAUGAUCACACUUAGUGCUGCUCUUCUGAGAAUCAUGAAAAUAAAUGCAGAGUUUGGAGAGAAGGAUGUAGACAAAGGCAGAAAUGAUCAGUAAUAUGUUGCUUUGUAAGAGAUUUGAUGAGAAACUUCAUACAGGUUUGCUUUGAGAAAUGGCUUAUUCCAAAUAGUUCAAGAGGAAAUAAAAGGACCAUGAAAACCUGGACAAUGAGGUAAACAAAAGUGAAAAGAAUCCACACAGAUGCUGUUUUACACCUAGCUCAACUAAUAACACCCAUCAUGCUCAGAGAUACAGGAAAAAGUGAAUCCAUGCCAAAUAAACCACCUCAGGUGUCAGUACUGGUGACUUCUAGUUACUUCCAAGCAUCUCAGUUAUUCACAGAACAGAGGCAAUGGGAGAGGUCCAAAGGAACUCUGUAUUGCCAUGUCACUGCUUUUCUGAGUAUUUCAAUACCUCCAUUAAAGUAAUGCCAUUACUAUGACCAAUUCACAAGCUUGAUUGAAAUUUCUUUAACAAUGUACAAUGUUGCAGACAGGAUGAGGUUAUCCAUUCCACCUCUGCUUUUUCUAGGGCAAUAGCUGAGAAAGGGAGUUUUAAAGGUAAACAGAAAUCUGAGGUAAUUCCUAAAGAAAAUGAACACUUACUAACUUUAAAGUAGUUAUUGUUAUACAAAGUGAGUUUUUGGGGUUAGCACAAAAGAAGAACAGCAUUUAAGGUCAAUAAAGGUGCAAUACUUUCCAUUGUUCACUGCAUUUCUACAUAAGUCUUAGAAACAGCACAAUCUGUAGCUCUCUUAUACAUAUAGGUAGCCUCUGGAGCUAUAUCACGGUUGUCCGUGAUUUUUCACUUGUUAUUAAAGGGCAUGAAUUCUUCCAAAGGGCAAGGCUAGUGCAUUUACUCAGACUCCUACGCAAAUUGUCCCAGGAUCCUAAUUUGAUGUACCUCAGUGGAAAGUGAUUAGGGUCAGAGGACUUAAGCUGUAUUCUAACACAUAUUAGAUUUAAAUAAUCCUGUCUCAUCUCUUCUGGCUCCUAACCAGUUUAUUUUAACACUAAGUGAGUUUGUUUGUAAAGUCUAAAUGAAUUUUAACAGCUUCUAGUGACAUUUUACUAGAAAACAGAAAAACUGUAGCAAUUCAGGUUCCAAAGUGUAUCAGCGUUCAAUUUUUGAGGGUUUCUCAGUAGACUGAACUUUCCAGAGAUCCUUAUCAUUCAUAUAAAAUAGAUUGGGAUAAUAUCCUCAGAGUUAAUCUAUUUAAAAUGAAUAGUGAUCUUAGAUCCUUUCGGCAUUGGAUUUGUUAAGAAGAAAGUGAUAUUACUGCAGAGUUAGUCCCACUUCCAAGGCCAUGCAAUGGCUUUUCUCAAGCAAUUAAGAAGCUGUACAACUUCUACCUUUAAGAUAACUGUGGAAGAUAUAAUCUUUUAAGAUUAGACUACUCUACUGAUAGAAUUUAUCUUCUUUUCUCUCAUUAAAUAUUUUAAGAUUCUAAUUAACAGACCCUAUUCAAGAAUUUCUGAGAUGAAUGAAGGCAUAUUCAUAUUUUCUGAGAGCACUUUAUUCAGUCUUAUUUUAAAAGCCUAAAUUACAUAUAAGGUAUAUAUGUGUUUUUAAAUACAUUAGUCAGAAGGAAAUGAGUAAUAAUGCUGCACUGUAUUGUGCUGAUCUGUCCAGGCAUAGAAGAGGAUAAGUUGCUAUAUUUAUUGAUGCAAAACUUGUGGAUAACCUUGGUAAACCUUGCAUUUCCUCUGCAAUAGCUACAAAUGGUGGUUAAUGUUAAGCGAGAAAUUUGCAGAAAGCUUAUUAAAAACACAGCCUGUUUCUGCAGACUUUGUUUCACUUUGACAUUUUAACCACAGUUUACCAGGAUGUGUCAAAACUUCUUGACUAGUCAUAGCAAUCUCCUCAGAAAAUAUGAGGAAAAGGUUUCUGUGCUCUUUCUUUCUUUCCUCCUUCUUUCUCUAUCCAUAAAUAUUUCAUAGAAUCAUACAGUUUUUUGAGUUGGAAGGGACCCUUAAAAGUCAACUAGUCCAACUCCCCUGUAAUUAAUAGGGACAUCCACAGCUAGAUCAGAUUUCUUAGAGUUUGUUCCAGCCUGAUCUUAAAUGUUUCUAGGGACUGGGAGUCCACCACCUCUCUGGGCAACCUGUUCCAAUGCUUCACUGCUGUUAUCAUUAAAAAAAACUUUGUUCUUAUACCCAAUCUAAAUCUCCUCUCUUUUAGUUUGAAACUAUUUCCCCUUGUCCUAUUAGAAAAGACCCUACUAAAGAGUCUGUCUCCUUCCUUCUCAUAGCUCCUUUUAAACACUGAAAGGUCACUAUCACGUUUCCCUGGAGCCUUCUGUUCUCCAAGCUGGACAGUCCCAGCUCUCUCAGCCUGUCCUCUUAAGGGAGUUGUUCCACCCCUUGGAUCUUUUUUAUGGCCCUCCUCUGGAUGCUUUCUGACAGAUCCACACCUCUCCUGUACUGAGGACUUCACAUCUGUCAUUGCUGCAGAGACCAGCUUUAGAGCAGGUAAGACUGCACUGAGUAAGGGACCUAAAGCAAAAAGGCCGACCAAAAAGCUCUUUUUAGGGCUUUUUUGAAGCUAGAAAAAGCACUGUACCAGUGCCAGGGGGCUGGCAGCUUGUGGGUGGGCUGCUGAGCCAGCAGGGGCAGAGCUGUCACUGCCCACUCUUAUCUCGUGAGUUCGACCUUGACCCUUUGCUGUGUGGCUAAAAUCAGCCUUCUGGAUGGCAGAAACAAGCUUCCACCCACUUAACACACCAGGUGAGAAAAGGGUGUUACCUUCCACUGACAAGAGGAAGGGAAGUCAGUGUGUGAGCACAGCCCACACUACCCAUACAGUACUGCAGCAGCGGGUGUGAGUGGUGGGUCUUGUGGCAGGACACAUGAGUGUUUUUUGUCUUUGCUCAGACCGGGUCUCCUAUGGACAGACCCUGAGACCACCAGUUCAAACAUGGUCUCUACCAGGCAGCAGGCUUUCCCCAUGAAAACUGUGGAGACCCAGGCAGAGGGCCUGCCCAGAAAUGCUGCCGUUCAGGUCUCUGGCUGCAGGGAGUGCCUGAGCCUGCUGCUGCCAAGGGAGGAUGGGAAGGAUCCCACCUGCGUGAGGUGCGAGCAGGUAGACAAGCUGCUCAGCCUGGUGGUGGAGCUCAGGGAGGAGGUGGAGAGAUUAAGAACUAUCAGAGAGUGCGACCUUCUAGAGGCUUGGGGCAGAGUGGCUGGAAGACUGUGUAGAGAUGGACCUGAGGGUAUUGAUUGAUGCUCAACUGAACAUGAGCCAGCAGUGUGCCCAGGUGGCCAAGAAGGCCAAUGGCAUCCUGGCUUGUAUCAGAAAUAGUGUUGCCAGCAGGAACAGGGAAGUAAUUAUCCCCCUGUACUCAGCACUGGUGAGGCUGUACCUUGAGUACUGUGUACAGUUUUGGGCCCCUCACUGUAAGAAAGACAUCGAAGCCCUGGAUCGUGUCCAGAGGAGGGCAACAAAGCUGGUGAGGGGUCUGGAGCACAGGCCUUACGAGGAGUGGCUGAAGGAGCUGGGAUUGUUCAGUCUAGAGAAGAGGAGGCUCGGGAGAGACCGAAUUGAGAACGAUUCUAUGAUUCUGUAUUCCUCUUUUCCCAAAAGACUUAAUUCAAUACUCUUCCUAAACUGGUCAUUUGUUGGAAGCAUCUAACUUUACCACUAUAUAAAAUACAUAAACCAUUUUUCAUUACAUAAACUAUUAUCUUAACAGAUCAGGAUAAGAAAUGAAAAGUUGUUUUCUUGUGACACCAGCAAGGACAUCUAUGUAGGGGAAAAAAGGGAAUGUAUUAAGAAAGUAAACAACUGAUCACAGACAUCUCGGAGAAUGUGUGGAUCUUUUACACUGAGUUAUAAUAUCAAACUGCACUAGGGCAACAAGGAAUUCAAAAGGUUAUGCUUCUUUGCAUCUGUAAAUACAUGGAUGUUUGGAAAAUAUGUUUAAUGUUUUUAAAAAAUGAUUCAGCAAAGAAAAAGAGCAGUGCAGUGAGAUAAAAAGAUGAUUUAUCCUGUGGCCAGUGUGCUUCAAAUUGACCAGAGAAAGUAAUCUAAUCAGACUUUAUUAAACUGAUUCUGCAGUACAUCCCCAGUGCCUGGAAGCAUUGUCUGAGCUGGUCUGCAGUCUAAUCCUACUUUAGGAGGUUUGCCAACUAUUUAGCCUUUUCUAAGUAGAAAUAGAGCCACAAAAAUUUAAUUACUGCUAUUUUAAUAAGGAAAAUGUAAAACGUUGAUGAUGUCUGACAUAUGAAAGAAGCUGCAUUAGUGACAACAGUAUUUAAAAAACUCUGAUCAAGCACAACCUUUUUAUUUUGAGCAAGAUAUAGCAGAUAAUGUAGGCUCAAAAACCAGCCUAAAGAGCUGCUGCCAGGUUAUAUAAUCUUUGAGCACUCAUCCAAGGCAGUCCUGAAGCCAAACACAGAGAGGAGAAUUGCUAAGGGGUUGUGUUUGCUUCAACAGUUUCCCCCACUGCAUGACAAUCUCUGCCCCAUAAGCUGGCAGUGUUGAUGGUGGCUGUUUCAGAUUUCUAUAGAAAAAUAAGCUCAAUUCAUGUAAAAUAAUGUUUCCCACAGAUGACCUAAAAAGCAUGCCCAGAAAAUAAGUGCAGACUGUUGUCAGUCCUUGCUGGCAUUUGCAGAUGUCUAAGUUUCCUUCCAUCAUCCUUUGUAUGCUAGGUUAAAUCCUAGAAAGUUGCCAUGUCUCCUGGUAAAAAGAUUGCAUGGAGAAAUUCCUCUUCAAUCACACUACAAUGAACAAAGUUCCCAUGUUACAUUAUGGCAAUAAGUCACUACUUUUCAUGCACAUCUGUCAAUUUCAGGAGGUAUUGCAUUCCCUUGGGUGCAAUCCCCUUCAGUGUUUCACUGAAGAUAGGGUUACUGCUCUGUGUGGUUUCCUUUCACACAAGAGUAAUAUAGCACUUUUUCACUGAAAAAGGUCAGAAAAUUGCAACUUGUUGAUUACACUGUUCAAGAAGUUGCUCUCUCUUUUGCAUUUUGCCUGCAGCACUGCUACUGCACAAUAUUCCACUUUGAGUCUUGGGUCUACUUGUGAUUCUGUUUGUUUCUCCUGGACAAGCAGCACUACUUGUGUAAUCCUCUGAUGCAUAUUGAUGCCUUAAGUUGCUAACUCUGGCUUCUCUCCUUCUGCAUACUUCUAUUUCUUCAUGAACUUGUCCUUCAAGGCACAUGUCAGUAUUUGUUGUGGAAUGGACAAUGGCUGCCAGUACUCAAGUACUGUCUUUCCUUUUUGCCUCAACCAG
rnacentral:lncRNA from 1 species